UCCCUGGUGGUCCAGUGGCUAAGUAAGACUUUACACUUCUAAUGCAGGGGGCCCAGGUUCGAUCCCUGGUCAGGGAA